rnacentral:rRNA from 1 species
GACGAACGCUGGCGGCGUGCUUAACACAUGCAAGUCGAACGGAAAGGCCCUGCUUUUGUGGGGUGCUCGAGUGGCGAACGGGUGAGUAACACGUGAGUAACCUGCCCUUGACUUUGGGAUAACUUCAGGAAACUGGGGCUAAUACCGGAUAGGAGCUCCUGCUGCCUGUUGGGGGUUGGAAUGUUUCGGCGGUUGGGGAUGGACUCGCGGCUUAUCAGCUUGUUGGUGGGGUAGUGGCUUACCAAGGCUUUGACGGGUAGCCGGCCUGAGAGGGUGACCGGCCACAUUGGGACUGAGAUACGGCCCAGACUCCUACGGGAGGCAGCAGUGGGGAAUAUUGCACAAUGGGCGGAAGCCUGAUGCAGCAACGCCGCGUGCGGGAUGACGGCCUUCGGGGUGUAAACCGCUUUCGCCUGUGACGAAGCGUGAGUGACGGUAAUGGGUAAAGAAGCACCGGCUAACUACGUG